GUGAGGAAUAUUGGACAAUGGGCGCAAGCCUGAUCCAGCAAUGCCGCGUGGGUGAAGAAGGUCUUCGGAUCGUAAAGCCCUUUCGACAGGGACGAUGAUGACGGUACCUGUAGAAGAAGCCCCGGCUAACUUCGUGCCAGCAGCCGCGGUAAUACGAAGGGGGCUAGCGUUACUCGGAAUUACUGGGCGUAAAGGGCGCGUAGGCGGCUCUGUUAGUCAGGCGUGAAAUUCCUGGGCUUAACCUGGGGACUGCGCUUGAUACUGCAGGGCUUGAGGCCGAGAGAGGGUGGUGGAAUUCCCAGUGUAGAGGUGAAAUUCGUAGAUAUUGGGAAGAACACCGGUGGCGAAGGCGACCACCUGGCUCGGUUCUGACGCUGAGGCGCGACAGCGUGGGGAGCAAACAGGAUUAGAUACCCUAGUAGUCC
rnacentral:rRNA from 1 species